rnacentral:rRNA from 1 species
UACAGAGACGGCAAGCGUUGUUCGGAUUCAUUGGGCGUAAAGGGUCCGCAGGCGGUCCGGCAAGUCGGAUGUGAAAUCCCGUGGCCCAACCACGGAAAGUUGUUCGAAACUGCCGGGCUCGAGGACUGGAGAGGAGACUGGAAUGGUCGGUGUAGCGGUGAAAUGCGUAGAGAUCGACCUGAACACCGGUGGCGAAGGCGGGUCUCUGGGCAGUUCCUGACGCUCAGGGACGAAAGCUAGGGGAG